UGACUUGUAUUUUCUUAAACUAACACAAAUAUAUUAAUUUUCUAUGUUAAACUUGGAAUUGAUUUUUGGUUUUGUAUUUAAAAGAAACUUGAACAUUUUAAACAUGUUUUAAAAUAUAUGUGAUUCAUUUUGAAAUGGAAAACAACAGAUGUAAUACACACACACACACACACACACACACAUAUAUAUAUAUAUAUAUAUAUAUAAUUACGUAAAUGAAUUUAGCAACAGCAGUAUACCAAAACUUAUUUCCAACACCUUUCAUGUUUUAAAUUUAUAAAAAAAGGCUAUCUUAAUUAUUUGAAUUUAAUUUUGAUAUUCUGUGCUGACAAUGCAAGUGAGACAAAGAUUUUUUAAAAUUAAUCUCGGAUAUCAAUGACAUACUAUACAAAUAAAUAAACAAUUAAAUGUUAUGUUUUGGAUAGAUCUUAUUUUUGGUAAGCUUUGAAAAUUAUAAAUUAAAUUUAAAUUAUAAAUGAAAAAAACGUGAUAAUGUUUUUUUAAAAAUGACUCAUGAUUAUUAUUAGGAUUGGAGUUUGUGUAAUUUUUAGCCAAGUUAAUAAAACUAAUAAAAAAUAAAAAGUGGUCAAUUUUGAGUUAUAGUUAGAUCAUAAUGUUAAAAUUUGUAAAUUGCAGUAAAAGAAUAUUUCAUUAAAAUAAAAUUUACAAGAAAUUGACAACAGAACAACUCAAAAUAUUUGAGAUUUUGAAUGAUUAAGACUGAAAGUUGAUUAACCAUUUUUAUUAACUAGUAAUUUUCACAUCUAAAUAUUGAAGCUUAGUACAAGUGUACUAGAAGAUUGAAUAUAAAUGAAUGUUGCUUUACCACUUGAAAUUAAUUUAAGAAAAAACUUCAAAAUCAUACUAAAAAAAUAUAUAUCUAUAUCCUAUGUGAACAAUACGUUUUUUAAAAGGAAAAAAAUAGAUGAGAGAUUUUUUGUCAUCCAUUUGAAUAUUAUCUAUGGAUGUGCAUAGUUCUAGUAGAAAAUAAGAACUUGUUGUUAGCAACCAAUUUUACAUAUAUAUUUUGUGAUAUGUAAAAUUUCAAAGCUACCAAGUUGCCACAUUUAUAAUUUAGAUCUGAUAAGUAUAAUUUGAUUAAUUCCUUUUUGGAAUUAUAUAUAUAUAUAUAUAUUUCACAAGUGUAUGAUACAAGAUGUUCUUUUAAUGAUCCAACACAUGGUUCAAUUCAAGUGGCAAAACCAACAGAUUUUCUUAAUAUUUUUAAUACUAAUUCUUUUUUCUAAAUAUCUUAAUAUAAUUUCUUAAAUAAUGCUUAAUUGUAACAAAAUAAAGUCUCACCUUUUCAAAAACAGUCGUAUUCCUUUAUAAAGCCCAAUGUUGCACAACUAAUGACAUAAAAGAAUUCUAUUAAGUUUUAAAUAAAGAUUAUAUUUUUGAAAUAAAUAAAUUUAUGAAAGAUUAUAUGUAAUUAUAAAAAAAGACUGAUUUUAAGAAAAACCAAACUUAGAGAAUUUUCUUAAGACGCACGACCUAGAAAUUUUUUUGUUAGAAAUUUGAACCACUUCAAGCACAACUACUAAUCUUUAAAAACAUCAAAAAAUUGCGUUUUUUUUUUAAAAUUGAAGGGAGGGAUGGAUGGAUGGAUGGAUGGAAGGGGUGGCAAGGAUGCUGCCAAGCUCCUCCGCUAAGCCCCAACGUCAGAGACGAAGAGAAUAUGCAGGUAGCGCCGUGGCCCACAAGAAGCCCCGAUGAUGCGAGAGAGAGUGAGAGAGAGCGAGAGAGUGAGAGAGAGAUCGAGGGAGAGACAGACCGAGAGCAUCCAGGAAAAGGGGUUGUUUGCCUCCCAUCCCAUUCCCAGUGGCGGAAGGGAAAGGGCAGAGGAGGCGCUGGCUCUUGUUUGAAUCCACUAUUCAGAGAGAUUGCGCACAGUUUCGAAGCCCACGCACAGCAACUCCCUCCUUCCCUUCCCUGCCAGUGGAUUCAGUCGGAAGCGGUCUGUACCAAUUAGCUUCAGGGCUCUCUACAGGAGCGAACCCUCGGCGCCCAACAGACGCAACCCUCACCCACCAAACGCCAAUGAAACCGUCGGACGCUCUUCGACGCUGGAGGCUGGCUGGUCAUCCAGCGCAACGGUCAAUGGCGACGACUGAGGAGGGAAGCAAGCAGGGGGGGG
rnacentral:lncRNA from 1 species